rnacentral:rRNA from 1 species
GAUGAACGCUGGCGGCGUGCUUAACACAUGCAAGUCGAACGGAGGAGCGAUUUCGGUUGCUCUUCAGUGGCGCACGGGUGAGUAACACGUAGCUGACCUGCCCUCAAGAGUGGGAUAACGGGUCGAAAGACCUGCUAAUACCGCAUAAGCUCACGCGCAUUAGAGGCGUGCGAGAAAAGGCGUGCAAGCGCCGUUUGAGGAGGGGC